rnacentral:rRNA from 1 species
AUUCCAGCUCCAAUAGCGAAUACUAAUUCUGCUGCAGUUAAAAAGCUCGUAGUUGAACUUCUGGUAGGACAGAUCCGGCCUUUGGAUGAAUGUCCAUUGUAUGCUGUGUGUCUUGUCUGGCCAUCCUUUAUGUCUUUUAGGCGUAAUCUUUCACUGUAAAAAAAUUAGGGUGUUUCAAGCAAAAGUUAUUUGGAAUAUAUUAGUAUGGGAUGAUAAGAUAGGCUCUUGAGUGCUACUUUGUUGGUUUCGAACACCGGAGUAAUGAUUAACAGGGACAGUCAGGGGCACUCGUAUUCCGCCGAGAGAGGUGAAAUUCUCAGACCAGCGGAAGACGAACCACUGCGAAAGCAUUUGUCAGGGAUGUUUUCAUCA